GCAGUGAGCCAGGGUACCCGCUAAUACUGGGCUUGCGGCAGAAUGGCAGGUAGCACAAGCACCUGGCUCCGGCAGCAAGCUCGGCCGCUUGGUGCCGUUCCGUCGGCGACGUCGAGCGACGUCGAGCGACGUCGGGUGACGUCGGGCGGAGCGCUGGCCGCGCGGCUGCCCCGCUCAGCGAGCGGCUAGCAGUGGACGCGCUGAGAGAGACCUGCGUUGAUCGCGGUCUUGUAGCGGAGUCACAGAUUGUAGUUUAAACAUUAACAUUAACAUGCUGCGUUUCAGAAAAUCAAACCUUUUAACAUUUUAGUUAAGUCUUUAGUAAUAUAAUAUGUGUAAUUCGUUCACCAGUCUUUCACGAUUGCAUUAUAAAUGAAAUAGGGAUUCACCGCUAUACUUUUCCGUUACUGAUACGAGCAGGAACAAUCUUGCAUAGUAUAAUGCACAAUUUUAGAGAUAAGUUUUUUUGUUAAUCCAUUUUACAUCUCAGUCGGCGCUAGUUAAGUUUCUUUUUUGACCCUUAGUUUUAGUUUUUUCUAAUAAACUGUGUUUUUUCUUACUUUAAAA